CAGGCCUAACACAUGCAAGUCGUACGAGAAAUCCUGGGCAACUGGGAAAGUAAAGUGGCGCACGGGUGAGUAACGCGUGGGUAACCUACCCUUGGAUUUGGGAUAACCCCGCGAAAGCGGGGUUAAUACCGAAUGAUAUUCCGAUUCCUAAGGGAUUUGGAAUUAAAGAUGGCCUCUGCAUGCAAGCUAUCGUCCAUGGAUGGGCCCGCGUACCAUUAGCUUGUUGGUAAGGUAAUGGCCUACCAAGGCAACGAUGGUUAGCUGGUCUUAGAGGAUGGCCAGCCACACUGGAACUGAGACACGGUCCAGACUCCUACGGGAGGCAGCAGUGGGGAAUCUUGCGCAAUGGGGGAAACCCUGACGCAGCAACGCCGCGUGGGUGAUGAAGGCCUUCGGGUCGUAAAGCCCUGUCAGGUGGGAAGAAACAUAUUGGUGCUAAUAUCACCGAUGUUUGACGGUACCUCCGGAGGAAGCACCGGCUAACUCCGUGCCAGCAGCCGCGGUAAUACGGAGGGUGCAAGCGUUGUUCGGAAUUACUGGGCGUAAAGCGCGUGUAGGCGGUUGGGUAAGUCAGAUGUGAAAUCCUUCCGCUUAACGGAAGAAGUGCAUUUGAAACUACUCGGCUAGAGUACGGGAGAGGAGAGUGGAUUCCCGGUG
rnacentral:rRNA from 1 species